AUUGAACGCUGGCGGCAUGCCUUACACAUGCAAGUCGAACGGCAGCGGACCUUCGGGUGCCGGCGAGUGGCGAACGGGUGAGUAAUAUAUCGGAACGUACCUUUCAGUGGGGAGUAACGUAGCGAAGUUACGCUAAUACCGCAUAUUCUGUGAGCAGGAAAGACAGGGGAGUCGCAAGACCUUGCGCUGAUUGAGCGGCCGGAUAUCAGAUUAGCUAGUUGGUGAGGUAAAGGACUCACCAAGGCGACGAUCUGUAGCGGGUCGUGAGAGGAUGAUCCGCCACACUGGAACUGAGACACGGUCCAGACUCCUACGGGAGGCAGCAGUGGGGAAUUUUGGACAAUGGGCGCAAGCCUGAUCCAG
rnacentral:rRNA from 1 species